UGCGAAUGGCUCAUUAUAUAAGUUAUCGUUUAUUUGAUAGUGCCUGUCCUACUUGGAUAACCGUGGUAAUUCUAGAGCUAAUACAUGCUAAAAAUCCCGACUUCGGAAGGGAUGUAUUUAUUAGAUUAAAAGCCAAUGCCCUUCGGGGCUCCCUGGUGAUUCAUAAUAACUUCACGGAUCGCACGGCCUUGCGCCGGCGAUGGUUCAUUCAAAUUUCUUCCCUAUCAACUUUCGAUGUUUGGGUAUUGGCCAAACAUGGUGGCAACGGGUAACGGAGGGUUAGGGCUCGACCCCGGAGAAGGAGCCUGAGAAACGGCUACUACAUCCAAGGAAGGCAGCAGGCGCGCAAAUUACCCAAUCCCAAUUCGGGGAGGUAGUGACAAUAAAUACUGAUACAGGGCUCUUUUGGGUCCUGUAAUUGGAAUGAGUACAAUUUAAAUCCCUUAACGAGGAACAAUUGGAGGGCAAGUCUGGUGCCAGCAGCCGCGGUAAUUCCAGCUCCAAUAGCGUAUAUUAAAGUUGUUGUGGUUAAAAAGCUCGUAGUUGAACCUUGGGCCUGGCUGGCCGGUCCGCCUCACCGCGUGUACUGGUCCGGCCGGGCCUUUCCCUCUGUGGAACUCCAUGCCCUUCACUGGGUGUGGCAGGGAAACAGGACUUUUACUUUGAAAAAAUUAGAGUGCUCCAGGCAGGCCUUUGCUCGAAUAUAUUAGCAUGGAAUAAUAGAAUAGGACGUGCGGUUCUAUUUUGUUGGUUUCUAGGACCGCCGUAAUGAUUAAUAGGGACAGUUGGGGGCAUCAGUAUUCCGCAGUUAGAGGUGAAAUUCUUGGAUCUGCGGAAGACUAACUGCUGCGAAAGCGUUUGUCAAAGAUGUUUUCAUUAAUCAGGAACGAAAGUCAGGGGAUCGAAGACGAUCAGAUACCGUCGUAGUCUUGACCAUAAACUAUGCCGACUAGGGAUCGGGCGAUGUUAUAUUUUGACUCGCUCGGCACCUUA
rnacentral:rRNA from 1 species